AUUUCAGGGCCGGUACACAAGCACACUGGUGAUCACUGCUGAUCACUGUAUGUAGCAUGGCCGAGCAGACCACAGGUAGUGGCAUCUGUUGCCUUGUACCCGGUCUGACCGGAAGUGCUUACUGAGAGCACUUCCUGUCAGACUGGGCACAGAGGCCCUCUCAUCCACAGUACAUGGAUGAGAGCAGGUACAGACACAUGCAAGGAAAUUGAC